UACGGGGGGGGCAAGCGUUGUUCGGAAUUACUGGGCGUAAAGGGCUCGUAGGUGGCCAACUAAGUCGGACGUGAAAUCCCUCGGCUUAACCGGGGAACUGCGUCCGAUACUGGUUGGCUUGAGUUUGGGAGAGGGAUGCGGAAUUCCAGGUGUAGCGGUGAAAUGCGCAGAUAUCAGGAGGAACACCGGUGGCGAAGGCGGGUCUCUGGGCCGUAACUGACGCUGAGGAGCGAAAGCAUGGGGAGCGAACAGG
rnacentral:rRNA from 1 species